rnacentral:rRNA from 1 species
UCAAGCGACUAAGUGCAUCUGGUGGAUGCCUUGGCGAUGAUAGGCGAAGAAGGACGCGUUAGCCUGCGAAAAGCACGGGGGAGCUGGCAAAUAAGCAUUGAUCCCGUGAUAUCCGAAUGGGGAAACCCGGCCCUUUUGGGUCAUCCAUGACUGAAUACAUAGGUCAUGAGAAGCGAACUCGGCGAACUGAAACAUCUAAGUAGCCGAAGGAAAAGAAAUCAACCGAGAUUCCCAAAGUAGUGGCGAGCGAAAUGGGAAGAGCCUGCAUGUGAUAAAUCAAACUUUAGUGGAACAGUCUGGAAAGUCUGGCGACAGUGGGUGAUAGCCCCGUACACGAAAAAGAUUGGUUGGUACUAAGCAUGCGACAAGUAGGGCGGGACACGAGAAAUCCUGUUUGAAGAUGGGGGGACCAUCCUCCAAGGCUAAAUACUCAUCAUCGACCGAUAGUGAACCAGUACCGUGAGGGAAAGGCGAAAAGAACCCCGGGAGGGGAGUGAAAUAGAACCUGAAACCGGAUGCAUACAAACAGUGGGAGCCCUUGCAAAAUGGGGUGACUGCGUACCUUUUGUAUAAUGGGUCAGCGACUUACGUUCAGUAGCAAGCUUAACCGAGUAGGGGAGGCGUAGGGAAACCGAGUCCGAAUAGGGCGCAUAGUUGCUGGGCGUAGACCCGAAACCAAGUGAUCUAUCCAUGGCCAGGAUGAAGGUGCGGUAACACGCACUGGAGGUCCGAACCCACUAAUGUUGCAAAAUUAGGGGAUGAGCUGUGGAUAGGGGUGAAAGGCUAAACAAACUUGGAAAUAGCUGGUUCUCCUCGAAAACUAUUUAGGUAGUGCCUCAUGUAUCACUGACGGGGGUAAAGCACUGUUAUGGCUAGGGGGUCAUCGCGACUUACCAAACCAUGGCAAACUCUGAAUACCGUCAAGUGCGAGCAUGGGAGACAGACUGUGGGUGCUAACGUCCAUGGUCAAGAGGGAAACAACCCAGAUCGCCGUCUAAGGUCCCAAAUAAUCAGUUAAGUGGAAAACGAGGUGGGAAGGCAUAGACAGCCAGGAUGUUGGCUUAGAAGCAGCCAUCAUUUAAAGAAAGCGUAAUAGCUCACUGGUCGAGUCGUCCUGCGCGGAAGAUGUAACGGGGCUCAAACUGAUAACCGAAGACGCGAAUAUGCACGAUGUGCAUAUGGUAGAGGAGCGUUCCGUAGGCCUGCGAAGGUGUCUUGAGAAGGAUGCUGGAGGUAUCGGAAGUGCGAAUGCUGACAUGAGUAGCGAUAAUGCGGGUGAAAAGCCCGCACACCGAAAACCCAAGGUUUCCUGCGCAACGUUCAUCGGCGCAGGGUGAGUCGGCCCCUAAGGCGAGGCAGAAAUGCGUAGUCGAUGGACAACGGGUUAAUAUUCCCGUACCGAUAUAAAGUGCGAUGGGGGGACGGAGAAAGGUAGGUCAGCCCACUGUUGGAAUAGUGGGUUUAAGCGAGUAGGCGUGUGGCUUAGGCAAAUCCGGGCUGCUUUAACGCUGAGACGUGACGACGAAGUCUUCGGACUGAAGUGAUUGAUCCUAUGCUUCCAAGAAAAGCCUCUAAGCUUCAGCUUUAUAUUGACCGUACCGCAAACCGACACAGGUGGGUAGGAAGAGAAUUCUAAGGUGCUUGAGAGAACUCAGGAGAAGGAACUCGGCAAAUUAUCACCGUAACUUCGGGAGAAGGUGAGCCCAUAUUAGGUGAAGGCCCUUGCGGCUGGAGCUGACAUGGUCGCAGAGAAAUGGGGGCUGCGACUGUUUAUCAAAAACACAGCACUCUGCAAAGUCGAAAACGACGUAUAGGGUGUGACGCCUGCCCGGUGCUGGAAGAUUAAAUGAUGGGGUGCAAGCUCUUGACUGAAGUCCCAGUAAACGGCGGCCGUAACUAUAACGGUCCUAAGGUAGCGAAAUUCCUUGUCGGGUAAGUUCCGACCCGCACGAAUGGCGUAACGAUGGCCCUACUGUCUCCUCCUGAGACUCAGCGAAGUUGAAAUGUUUGUGAAGAUGCAAUCUCCCCGCUGCUAGACGGAAAGACCCGUGAACCUUUACUGUAGCUUUGGCAUUGGACUUUGAAGUGGUUUGUGUAGGAUAGGUGGGAGACAUUGAAGCAUGGACGCUAGUCUGUGUGGAGUCGUCCUUGAAAUACCACCUGACCCCUUUGAGGUUCUAACCUUGGUCCGUUAUCCGGAUCGGGGACCGUGCAUGGUAGGCAGUUUGACUGGGGCGGUCUCCUCCCAAUUGUAACGGAGGAGCUCGAAGGUCGCCUAGGUACGGUCGGACAUCGUACUGAUAGUGUAAUGGCAUAAGGCGGCUUAACUGCGAGACAGACAAGUCGAGCAGGUGCGAAAGCAGGACAUAGUGAUCCGGUGGUUCUGAAUGGAAGGGCCAUCGCUCAACGGAUAAAAGGUACUCGGGGAUAACAGGCUGAUUCCGCCCAAGAGUUCACAUCGACGGCGGAGUUUGGCACCUCGAUGUCGGCUCAUCACAUCCUGGGGCUGUAGCCGGUCCCAAGGGUAUGGCUGUUCGCCAUUUAAAGUGGUACGUGAGCUGGGUUCAAAACGUCGUGAGACAGUUUGGUCCCUAUCUGCAGUGGGCGUUGGAAAUUUGAGGGGG